GUCAAACCGGGUCUGCCGGAGUGUUCCACAAGGUGGGAGCACUGUGAUGCUGUUAAUUUUUUGUUCAUUUGAUACACUGCAUAAUUUGGUAUUCGAACUCACCGAACACCUGAGACCUAUUUCGUAUACUGAACAGCCAGACCACCCACGGCAGGCGUGCACUGCUCUUCGACCCUUUUUACCUUUGUUUGCACCUUAGUAACCACAAUUAUCAUAACAUUCUGAGCGGUCAGCUGGGUGGCCGCAUGUCGUAU